rnacentral:misc_RNA from 1 species
GAUGAAGAACGUAGCGAAAUGCGAUAAGUAAUGUGAAUUGCAGAAUUCAGUGAAUCAUCGAAUCUUUGAACGCACAUUGCGCCCGCCAGUAUUCUGGCGGGCAUGCCUGUCCGAGCGUCAUUUCAACCAUCAAGCCCCGGGCUUGUGUUGGGGACCUGCGUCCGACGCAGGCCCUGAAAACCAGUGGCGGGCUCGCUGUCCACACCGAGCGUAGUAACUAACCUCGCUAUGGAGUGGCGCGGGCGCCUGCCGUAAAACCCCCAAUUUUUACAAGGUUGACCUCGGAUCAGGUAGGAAUACCCGCUGAACUUAAGCAUAUCGAUAAGCGGAGGA